UCAGUUGUGAAAGUUUGCGGCUCAACCGUAAAAUUGCAGUUGAUACUGGAUGUCUUGAGUGCAGUUGAGGCAGGCGGAAUUCGUGGUGUAGCGGUGAAAUGCUUAGAUAUCACGAAGAACUCCGAUUGCGAAGGCAGCCUGCUAAGCUGCAACUGACAUUGAGGCUCGAAAGUGUGGGUAUCAAACAGGAUUAGAUACCCUGGUAGUCCACACGGUAAACGAUGAAUACUCGCUGUUUGCGAUAUACAGCAAGCGGCCAAGCGAAAGCGUUAAGUAUUCCACCUGGGGAGUACGCCGGCAACGGUGAAACUCAAAGGAAUUGACGGGGGCCCGCACAAGCGGAGGAACAUGUGGUUUAAUUCGAUGAUACGCGAGGAACCUUACCCGGGCUUAAAUUGCAGAUGAAUUACGGUGAAAGCCGUAAGCCGCAAGGCAUCUGUGAAGGUGCUGCAUGGUUGUCGUCAGCUCGUGCCGUGAGGUGUCGGCUUAAG
rnacentral:rRNA from 1 species